AUACGGUCAUAUCAUAUUAAAACACCAGUUCCCCUACAAUCACUGAAGUUAAGCAACACCAAGCCUGGUGAGUACCUAGAUGGAUGACUGCUUGGGAAUACCAGGUGCUGUAA